CUAGGCGAGAAACAUCAGCUUUUGUGCUCCGAAGGUGCUGCUUGGCCUGCAGUGUUCAUCCAGCUUCACUCUUUGUUAUCCAGGACAAUAGACUUCUGUCUCUCGCACUGACUGCAGAACAGAGAGACAGAGCACAGUCUUUUUAUACCGUUUUGGAUAAAGGCAAAUAUGGAUGGAACGACAAGUCCGGGUACAAAGUCCACUUCUCAUUUUUCUUUAACCUACUUGUGUCGGUGUGUGACAUUAUUGUUUUUGUGAUAUCUGUGCUGUAUAUCCACAAAAUAAAUCCAAUCUGAGUCAUGUACAUUCUAA